rnacentral:rRNA from 1 species
GGUGGGGAAUAACUCGCCGAAAGGUGAGCUAAUACCGCAUAAUGCAGCGGCACCAAAUGGUGAAUAGUUGUUAAAGCGGGGGACCCUUCGGGGCCUCGCGCCUGGAGAGGAGCCUGCGGCAGAUUAGCUAGUUGGUGGGGUAAUGGCUCACCAAGGCUUCGAUCUGUAGCUGGUCUGAGAGGACGGCCAGCCACACUGGCACUGACACACGGGCCAGACUCCUACGGGAGGCAGCAGUGGGGAAUUUUGGGCAAUGGGCGCAAGCCUGACCCAGCAACGCCGCGUGAGGGAGGAAAUCC